AUUGGCAUUUUUAACGGAUCCAUGGUUGAUAAAUUGAAUACCUAAUACAUUUCAGGUAAAUGGUGGCAAAUAGACUAUUAGCACCCAUGUAUCAAACAACAGCAACGGUUGUGUUUGUUCAAUGGUUCACAAUGAUUGACCAGGAAACAGAACGUUUGGGAUCUUUCAAUAUGCUGAAGCAUUACGCCAUAAAAAGGUUUAGCUUGAAAGAAGCAAUAUAUUGGAACAUUAUCCUAGAGGGAAAUGAGUUUACAGCAGUGUUGCAUUUCUUCAACAAUGUACUAGAAUGCGUUGGUUGUGGUAGAGCAACAUGAUUAGAGCAAAGUGCAAGUAAAGAUGGUCAAUAAGGAGGCAAGCAGGGUGGGCUGAAAUGGUCCAUGGUUACUUCCUUGGCAUGUAGGGGUCCAAGCAAAACAUAUUGUGACAAAAGUUUCUGAUUUUAUGCUGGCCUCCCUCCCUCUUGAGCAGGAUAAUGCAAGACCAUGCCAAGUUAUGUACAAUAUAUUUAUGAUCUCGUGUAAUUUUAGGGUUUAUAGUCCUUGUAAAAACAUCUAGGGGCGUACAAUGUAUUUAUGAUUGCUUUUGUAAUUUUAGGGUUUAUAUAUCUUGUAAUAAUACCCAAGGGCUUGUGUAGUUGUAAUACACAAUUUUUAAUUCCCAUUUUUAUUUUUUUCAAAAA